CCCUCCCCCAAACCCUAGGUUGUCUAAUGCCGCACACCACACCACACCAUGCCAGACCACCUCAUCUGCGACGCUGCAUCAUCUCUCCGAACAACCUCUUCAGCAUCGUCGGACCACCAGGGCGUGUCUUUUGCUCUGGAGUCGGUUUUGUGUCCGUCACCUGCUUUGUCAUCCUCAUCACUCAUAAAUACAACAUCAACAAUCAUUCGGGGCUUGCUCAAUGACUAUUCAGGUUAGGGCCUCAGGAUUUCAAAACAAAUCUGCUCCAGCAAUUAAAAAACUAAGUGAAGCUGCCUUCCGGCGACCACGAUUGGCAAGCCGAGAUCUGUGUAGUCUAUUUCCUGAUCUGGUCUUUUAGUGUCACUGGUUGUUGAUCACGGAUUUGUCUUGAAGUAUCGUACUCGGUUUGCGAAACCAUCAAUUAGUCGACCCAGUGGUAUUCAGACUCUUUCCAAUCUGAAUUGCCUCUCUGCCAUUGAUUCUGAGAGUGACUCAGAGGGCCCUCAGGAGUACUAUACUGGCGGCGAAACAAGGUCAGAUUUUUAAAUUUCAGUGUUUAUAGUGGACGAGCCGAUGGCAUGCUGCUGCUGCUUUGGUGAUUAUAUAUUUGUGGCGGUCUACGUGGAGGUAACAUUAUACCCUGCAGUUUUAAAUUAACGUUUUUGUAACCAGAUGAGUAAUUAUAGUCUUGAUUGGUUAGUUGAUUCUUUUGUAGUUUAGUCAUAUUUUCAAAACUAAAAGCUUUAAGUUUUUUAUGGAUGCAUACAAGCUCAUAAUCUGGACUAAGAACUUAUAUCCUAUUCACUCCUUGCCGGUGCAAACUAGUCGAGCCGAUUUUGAUUUUACCCACCCUUUAACUGUAUAACAUAACCCGAAUACAUUUAGAUGUUAAUGGAUUGAAACUAAGGAUCUGUUAAAGGGUUAAAUGGGAACCGGCUAAAGGGUUAGAAUGGGUUGGUCUCAAAGGUUAUUUGGUUAGAAUGGCAAUGAUCGGCAGUCAUAAAACGAGCCUGUUGUGAUUACUCAGGCCGGGGAAAUAGUAGUAAA